AGUGAACGCUGGCGGUAGGCCUAACACAUGCAAGUCGAACGGCAGCACAGUAAGAGCUUGCUCUUAUGGGUGGCGAGUGGCGGACGGGUGAGGAAUACAUCGGCAUCUACUUUUUCGUGGGGGAUAACGUAGGGAAACUUACGCUAAUACCGCAUACGACCUACGGGUGAAAGCAGGGGAUCUUCGGACCUUGCGCGAUUGAAUGAGCCGAUGUCGGAUUAGCUAGUUGGCGGGGUAAAGGCCCACCAAGGCGACGAUCCGUAGCUGGUCUGAGAGGAUGAUCAGCCACACUGGAACUGAGACACGGUCCAGACUCCUACGGGAGGCAGCAGUGGGGAAUAUUGGACAAUGGGCGCAAGCCUGAUCCAGCCAUACCGCGUGGGUGAAGAAGGCCUUCGGGUUGUAAAGCCCUUUUGUUGGGAAAGAAAAGCAGCAGGUUAAUACCCCGCUGUUCUGACGGUACCCAAAGAAUAAGCACCGGCUAACUUCGUG
rnacentral:rRNA from 1 species